GGUCGUGUAGCUCAGUGGGAGAGCACUACGUUGACAUCGUAGGGGUCACAAGUUCAAUCCUUGUCACGACCACCA
rnacentral:tRNA from 1 species